rnacentral:rRNA from 1 species
UGGGGAAUAUUGCACAAUGGGCGCAAGCCUGAUGCAGCAACGCCGCGUGAGGGACGACGGCCUUCGGGUGUAAACCUCUUUUAGUAGGGAAGAAGCGAAAGUGACGGUACCUGCAGAAAAAGCACCGGCUAACUACGUGCCAGCAGCCGCGGUAAUACGUAGGGUGCGAGCGUUGUCCGGAAUUAUUGGGCGUAAAGAGCUCGUAGGCGGUCUGUCGCGUCUGCUGUGAAAACCCCGAGGCUCAACCUCGGGCCUGCAGUGGGUACGGGCAGACUAGAGUGCGGUAGGGGAGAAUGGAAUUCCUGGUGUAGCGGUGGAAUGCGCAGAUAUCAGGAGGAACACCGAUGGCGAAGGCAGUUCUCUGGGCCGUAACUGACGCUGAGGAGCGAAAGCGUGGGGAGCGAACAGGAUUAGAUACCCUGGUAGUCCACGCCGUAAACGUUGGGCGCUAGAUGUGGGGACCAUUCCACGGUUUCCGUGUCGCAGCUAACGCAUUAAGCGCCCCGCCUGGGG